CUCCUACGGGAGGCAGCAGUGAGGAAUAUUGGACAAUGGGCGCAAGCCUGAUCCAGCCAUGCCGCGUGCAGGAAGACGCAUCUAUGGUGUGUAAACUGCUUUUGUACGGGAAGAAACACUCCUACGUGUAGGAGCUUGACGGUACCGUAAGAAUAAGGAUCGGCUAACUCCGUGCCAG
rnacentral:rRNA from 1 species